rnacentral:misc_RNA from 1 species
CAUGCUAUCAUUUUUUAAUCACAUUCAAUAACACAAAACACUUUCCACCAUAAGUUUCCUUAAACGUCCAAGUAUUCAUUUCAUUAAAAUUUUACCGAACCCUGAACAUUCCUAGUAGAUCUGGCAUCACUGGUUCAUUCAUAUUCCAAGUAAGUCACCACACCAUGCUUUUGAAGUGACGUCACUGUCGAUUUUCAAGGCGGGAAGCAGCUGAUCUGGUGUAUUAUUGUUUACAACACAAUUAUAGGAAGUGGUUGUGAUAGUUUUCGUUCAAUUUUACUUUGGGAAUAUGUAAUCAAAUCAGUUGACUGAUAAAUUUGAUAAAAUGUGAAGUGCUCAGUGUAUAACAAGUAGAUUUAAUAUUUUAUUGUGUUUGUGUUUUAGACCGGGAACGGUAACCUAACCUAACUUAUGAUAUGAAGUUUUCACCUUAGAAAAUAAACAUGCACAAACAACUUUUUCCAUUUUGGGGGAAAGAGGUGCAAAUUCUUUACGAAAAUCUUAAAUGAUUAUUGUGAAGUGGGUUGAUUCUGCUUGUGUAGGAAAGGUUCGGUACAAAAUCAUACGAUUCACUGAAAAAUAUCACAAUACUAUCAACACAUACUAUUCAGACGAAAAAUGUAGGAUCGAAUGAAACUCAGAAAAGUAGAAGGAAAAAGUCAGUGAAGAAAUCUCUGAGAGGUGGAUCCUUCACUUCAGCAAAUGAAAUGUCACGCAAAAAAUGUAAGGGAUUCAAACCAGAAGCUGUCAAUGGUUUAUUUAGAUGUCCCGAAUGUUAUGGUUUUUGUUCAAAAACUAGCAAAUUCUGCAAAAGAUGUGUAGCAUUCAGACAGAGAAAUGGCAUAAAGAAAAAUCAUCCUAAAGUUAAAAUAAUGGCAGAAAAAAAGGCAUUUUUGGGAAAACGUGGUAAUCGAUAUAGGUGUGAACUUUGUAAAGGUUUUUGCAGAAAACAUGUCAGAUACUGCAGAAAAUGUUUGAGGUCUAUGGAAGGGGAGCCGUCGAACUCUGAAAAAAGGACAAAAAUACAAAAUGAGCUGUACACUAAGCAACCAUAUUCAUCAAACUCUAAUCCUCGUAAUAGCUACACAAAUGACGAUAAGGGAAGCGCAAAACAACAAGUUCUUUCGUCUUCUAAUAUCCCGACUGAUACAUCAAAAACAAAUUCUGUCGACAGGAAGAUGCCUGUCACUUUGGAAACUGAAAUGAUUAGUCAGAAACAAGUGAAAAGCAAAAUUUCAAAAUUAGAAAAGACCACACGUUGGAAGAGGUCAAAAGUUGUAGAGGCAGAUAGUCCUGUAGAAGUUGCACCAACAGCAAGUCAAAUCGCAAGACCUGACAAAGUAACUGAAAAAAAAACUGACGAAGGGAAAACACAGCCACAAAAAUAUUUGAAUGAUCUUUCAUAUAGAGAGAUUAUUUCUUCCAAUGAAAGUUCUUCUAAUGCUGAUGAAAGUUUACCUGUAAUCAUUAACGAAUCGGAUAGUUUUGUUGAUGACUGCCGAUAUGUUUCGUUUGAUGAUAUUCAAGGUAUACUAAACGAAGAUUACACGAGUAUGACAUUGCAAGAGCUCCUUUGAUGAUAACCAAUUAUUACUGCUUCCAUUAUAUUCCGAUGAUUUUCAUUAUUUGUAAUGGUGCAUGUUGUCUUAUAUAUCAAUUAUUAAAUAAAGUUACAAACCAU